rnacentral:rRNA from 2 species
UCGCACCUACCGAUUGAAUGAUUCGGUGAAAAUUCUGGACUGUGGCUCGGACGCCUUCGGGCGACCUUGCUAUGGGAAGUUAUUUAAACCUCAUCAUUUAGAGGAAGGUGAAGUCGUAACAAGGUUUCCGUAGGUGAACCUGCGGAAGGAUCAUUACCACACCCUCAAAUA